GAUGAGUGUCGGGAGAUCCCAGGGGUAUGUGAGAAUGGGAUUUGCAUAAACCUGGUUGGCAGUUUCCGAUGUGAAUGUGCGGGCGGCUUCUUUUACAACGACAAGUUAUUGAUCUGUGAAGAUAUUGAUGAAUGCCAGAAUGGACCAGUUUGUCAACAAAAUGCGGAUUGCGUGAACACACAAGGGAGCUACCGCUGUGAUUGUAAACCUGGUUAUCGAUUUACAUCUGUUGGACGAUGUGUUGAUCGCAAUGAGUGUCUAGAGAUUCCCAAUAUUUGUAGCCAUGGUGAUUGCUUAGACCGUGAAGGGGGUUAUUCAUGUCGUUGCCACACGGGAUUCAAAACCAAUGAAGAUGAAACGAUGUGUUUGGGUA